GGAGAGAGAGGGAUUCGAACCCUCGAUAGUUCGAAACAAAGAACUAUCGAGGGUUCGAAUCCCUCUCUCUCCU
rfam:Gossypium arboreum cultivar AKA8401 contig_25749_1, whole genome shotgun sequence.